rnacentral:lncRNA from 1 species
GGCGGGGGGAUUGAGGACUUUGUUGGGGCCAACGGUGAGGGGUGGGGAUUCAGGCGUGGGCAGUAGUUUUCUGAUGAUGAGGAAGGCUUCCUCUUGCCAGCGCUGGAGGGUCCAAUUGGAGCGUUGAUGGGCCAAGUUGACAACGGCCGGGGAGAUGAAGGGAAGUAUGACGAUGAGAGCAAUGGGAAGAACAGAACUACCCGCGUGGCGGCGAAUCAUCUGUGGAGACAAAAGAGAGAGAAAACUACAAAGGAAACAGCGAUGGGAAGGAGGCAAGUUAGUAUCCAUAUGGUGCUGACAUUCUGAUCCAUGUGGACGCCUUGGCUUACACCCGCCUUCUGACUGCCCCAGGCCCUCAUCACCUAGGACACCAGCCAAACAGCAUUGACUUUGCCCUUCAGAGACACUAUCAAUAAAUACACGUGGAGCAUUCCCAAAGAAACAGAAAUUGCUCGGAAAAC